AUUGAACGCUGGCGGCAGGCUUAACACAUGCAAGUCGAGCGGAGUGAUGGUGCUUGCACUAUCACUUAGCGGCGGACGGGUGAGUAAUGCUUAGGAAUCUGCCUAUUAGUGGGGGACAACAUCUCGAAAGGGAUGCUAAUACCGCAUACGUCCUACGGGAGAAAGCAAGGGAUCUUCGGACCUUGCGCUAAUAGAUGAGCCUAAGUCGGAUUAGCUAGUUGGUGGGGUAAAGGCCUACCAAGGCGACGAUCUGUAGCGGGUCUGAGAGGAUGAUCCGCCACACUGGGACUGAGACACGGCCCAGACUCCUACGGGAGGCAGCAGUGGGGAAUAUUGGACAAUGGGGGAAACCCUGAUCCAGCCAUGCCGCGUGUGUGAAGAAGGCCUUAUGGUUGUAAAGCACUUUAAGCGAGGAGGAGGCUACUGAGACUAAUACUCUUGGAUAGUGGACGUUACUCGCAGAAUAAGCACCGGCUAACUCUGUGCCAGCCGCCGCGGUAA
rnacentral:rRNA from 1 species